rnacentral:lncRNA from 1 species
GAAGACUGCUGGGGUUUUGGCGCGGUGAGACUAUUUUGGGCAAACGGGUUCGCCGAUUGUAUCUUCUCAAUAACCUGAGGAGCAGGCGGCGGCGUGGAGGUCUGAGGAUCAGGGACGGCAUCCGAGGCGAAGGAUUGAGAAGGGGAGGAAAGAGUCGACAGAAGGAUAGUAGUUGCAACAGCAGUUUUUUUGGUGGAAUCCGCGUUGAGGAGAGAUUUGAUCGAAG